UACGGGAGGCAGCAGUGGGGAAUAUUGCACAAUGGGCGCAAGCCUGAUGCAGCCAUGCCGCGUGUAUGAAAAAGGCCUUCGGGUUGUAAAGUACUUUCAGUCGUGAGGAAGGUGUUAAGGCUAAUAACCUUAGCAAUUGACGUUAGCGACAGAAGAAGCACCGGCUAACUCCGUGCCAGCAGCCGCGGUAAUACGGAGGGUGCGAGCGUUAAUCGGAAUUACUGGGCGUAAAGGGCACGCAGGCGGUUAAUUAAGUUGGAUGUGAAAUCCCCGGGCUUAACCUGGGAAUGGCAUUCAAGACUGGUUAGCUAGAGUCUUGUAGAGGGGGUAGAAUUCCAUGUGUAGCGGUGAAAUGCGUAGAGAUGUGGAGGAAUACCGGUGGCGAAGGCGGCCCCUGGACAAAGACUGACGCUCAUGUGCGAAAGCGUGGGGAGCGAAACAGGGAUUAGAUACC
rnacentral:rRNA from 1 species